rnacentral:rRNA from 1 species
CCCUGGCUCAGGAUGAACGCGGCGGCGUGCUUAACACAUGCAAGUCGAACGAUGACCCGGUGCUUGCACCGGUGAUUAGUGGCGAACGGGUGAGUAACACGUGAGUAACCUGCCCUUAACUCUGGGAUAAGCCUGGGAAACUGGGUCUAAUACCGGAUAUGACUCCUCAUCGCAUGGUGGGGGGUGGAAAGCUUUAUUGUGGUUUUGGAUGGACUCGCGGCCUAUCAGCUUGUUGGUGAGGUAAUGGCUCACCAAGGCGACGACGGGUAGCCGGCCUGAGAGGGUGACCGGCCACACUGGGACUGAGACACGGCCCAGACUCCUACGGGAGGCAGCAGUGGGGAAUAUUGCACAAUGGGCGCAAGCCUGAUGCAGCGACGCCGCGUGAGGGAUGACGGCCUUCGGGUUGUAAACCUCUUUCAGUAGGGAAGAAGCGAAAGUGACGGUACCUGCAGAAGAAGCGCCGGCUAACUA